rnacentral:rRNA from 1 species
UUUUUCCGUAGGUGAACCUGCGGAAGGAUCAUUACUGAUUUGCUUAAUUGCACCACAUGUGUUUUUUACUGGACAGCUGCUUUGGCGGUGGGGACUCGUUUCCGCCGCCAGAGGUCACAACUAAACCAAACUUUUUAUUACCAGUCAACCAUACGUUUUAAUAGUCAAAACUUUCAACAACGGAUCUCUUGGUUCUCGCAUCGAUGAAGAACGCAGCGAAAUGCGAUACGUAGUAUGAAUUGCAGAUAUUCGUGAAUCAUCGAAUCUUUGAACGCACAUUGCGCCCUUUGGUAUUCCAAAGGGCAUGCCUGUUUGAGCGUCAUUUCUCCCUCAAGCCCGCGGGUUUGGUGUUGAGCAAUACGCCAGGUUUGUUUGAAAGACGUACGUGGAGACUAUAUUAGCGACUUAGGUUCUACCAAAACGCUUGUGCAGUCGGCCCACCACAGCUUUUCUAACUUUUGACCUCAAAUCAGGUAGGACUACCCGCUGAACUUAAGCAUAUCAAUAAGCGGAGGAAAAA